CCCUCUCCAGAAUAGCAGCAUAAAAACCACUAUAAUUCAGCCGGUUAAAGUUUGAUCCACAGUUAUAAAGAACAUUCUUGAUUAAGUUGAUCCCACUCCUCCUGUCAACAAUAGGCAAAAAGCAUUCAUCCAUAACAGACAAAGCAACAGCCAACUUUGAAUUGCAUUCUACUCUUUGAGGAAGUCCCUGGAGAGAUGUAUCCAAGUCUACAUCUGUUCUAUGUAUGAGAGACCAUGAAAAUCCUGCUUCAAGCUCAUUUUUGACCCCAAGAUACUUCUGCAAUUGCUCAAAAAGCUGUCUACAUGUCUUCCCACAAAAACAACAAAAUGAACUAUUGGCAUCGAUAGAAAGAGCAUCCAUCUCCAGUAUGCAUGAUUUGUGAUAUUUCUUUGCACACAUGCUGCAAGUAGGAAGUUCACAACCAGUUGCAUCAUCUCCCUGAGAAAUAUUUUCACCGGCUACCCCACAAAAUUUGCAUGUACAAUUUGGAC
rnacentral:misc_RNA from 1 species